rnacentral:rRNA from 1 species
AUAAGACGAGAAGACCCUAUGGAGCUUUAAUUAUUUAACCCAACACUUCCUUUAUUCUACUCUACAAUGAGCCUAACCAAGGAAAUCCCUGGGUUAAAAAUUUUGGUUGGGGUGACCUCGG